AAGUUCGAGACGGAGGCCAGUUAGAACCUGAUCGCUCUCUUGAAAAUGAUGAACCUGCCCUAUGCUGUGAAACCUAACACCGAUUGGGCCUUCAACUUUCACAAGACUGUUUUUAUUUAAGGCUGAACCUGCACUGUGCUGUCUAAUUUGAUGAAAUUUCGAACCAUUCUAUGGAUUGUUAUAUGGUUGGUAUGCUUCUGUUAUGAUGUUCAGCGUUGCUCUGCUGCCACAAACAGGUGCUAUGCUCAUUUACCAUUCUAGCCUUGUUACAUCUCGAGGUUGCUAUGCGCAUUUACCAUUGUAGCCUUGUUACAUCUCGAGGUUGCAAUCUGUGUGAUAAUAAUCGUCACCUUUCUGAAGCACCCACUCAUGCUCCACCUUGCCUUAAUGGUGAGACCUCGGGCUGCAACUUCACAAUGCAUAUGCCACAUUUUCUGCCAGUUAUUGCAGGAUAAUUGACACUUCUGUGUUUGCAAAUACAAAAAUUCCUCGCUAAUGUGCUCGGUGCACACUGUUAAAUUAUCCUUUCAGAAACACACAUACCUCCUUUAAUUGAAAUCCCCCUCUUGGGUCGCAGUUUCUCUUGGAGUAACAAAAGAGACCAUCUGUCCUUGGAACGAAAUAAUAGUCUUUGUUCAUUUUUCUUUUUUCAGUUUUCAGUUUUUUACUUUUUAAAAAUAAUUUGGGAUUUCUAAAAAGUUGUGAAUUGUGAAAACAAUGUUCGUGAAUUAAAAAUAUUUAUGAUUUGAAAAAAAUGUUCAGAAAAUGAUACAUGUCCACGGAUUCAAAAAAUGUUUGCGUAUUCAAAAAAUUCACAACUUUACAAAAUAUUCAUGAAUUUUUUAGAAAAUAUGUCAAAUAUUCAAAAAAAUGUACGGAAUUUCCAAAAAAAAUGUUCAUGAAAUUCUAAAAAAAAUUAACGAAUUUGUGGAAAGUGUUAGCGAAUUUACAAAAUGUCAAGAUUCCAAAAAAAGUAAAUAAAUUUGAAAAAAUGUCCAUGAUUCCAAGAACUAUUCACGGUUUCCAAAAAUGUUCACAAAUUUUUAAAUGAUGUUCAAGAAUUUAAAGAAUGUUCGUAAUUUUAGAAUAAAGUGAAUAUUUUUUGAAUUCGAUGAACAAAUUUUGAUUUCAAAAAAUGUUCACCUGAUUUGAUUUUUUUUGAAUUUCACAAAUAUGUUCACCAAUUUGGAAAACAAAUAUAUUCUCGGAUUUCAGAAAAUAUUUGUGAAAUUUGGAAGGAAAAAACCGAAAAAGAAAUAUGAGGAAAAAGAAAAAAGAAAAAGAAAAAAAAUAAAAGAUAACAAAAAAAGAAAAAGAAAAGGAAAAGGAAAAAAAAUGUAAGAGAUAAAAACAGCCUGGGAAGGUUCUAGAGCCUUCCCAAAACCGGACAUGAGCUAAUUGGGUUGGCCCAUGUACGUGCGGGGGUGCCGGGGGGUAGGUGUGCAGUUGCUCAAGCUUGACCUACGCGCGGAAUAGGAGAACUCUUUGUGAACAUGGGCGCCCCUAUAUCUCGCCCUCAGCGAGUCUAACUUCAGACUCGCUGAAGGGGGCGAGCAAGGUGGGCCACCCAUGCACGCGGGAGGGCAAAGCCUGUUUUUUUUUUUGUUUUCUGUUUAUGUUUCUUUCCAUUUUGUUUGUACUUUAAAGUAUUCUACACACACAUAUAUUUUGUUUUCCAAAUUGCACUUGAAAAAGACACUCUAUAAAAACAUUUUUUAAUGUUAAAAAAGCAUUUGAAAAAUGUUGAACAAGCAUUCAAAAAAUGUUGAACAAAUAUUUUAAAAUUUUGGAACAAGUAUUUGAAAAUAUACUGAACAAGUAUUCUAAAAUGUUAAUUAAGCAUUUGGAAAAUGUUGAACAAGUAUUUGAAAAACGUAUAUCAAGCAUUCCGAAAAUGUUGAACAUGUAUAGCAAAAUUCACGGAGAUGGAGCGUGACUGUGUCCUCGCUCAUGUGGCUGAUAACCCAUAAGUAUAGGGGAUCGCAACAGUUUUCGAGCAUAGAAUAUUCAACUCAAAUUUAUUAAUUCGACACAAGGGGAGUCAAAAAAUAUUCUCAAGUAUUAGCAGCUGAGUUGUCAAUUCAACCACACCUGGAAACUUAAUAUCUGCAGCAAGGUAUUUAGUAGCAAAGUAAUAUGAUAGUAGUGGUAACGGUGGCAAAAGGUAACGGUAGAAAAAGUAAUAUUUUGGGGUUUUAUAGUGAUGGUAACAGUAGCAGCGGGAAAGUAAAUAAGCGAAGAACAAUAUAGGAAACGCUCGUAGGCAAUGGAUCGGUAAUAGAGAAUUAUGUCGGAUGCGUUCGAUCAUGUAACAGUCAUAACCUAUAGUGACACAUAGCUCCAGUUCAUCAAUGUAAUGUAGGCAUGUAUUCCGAAUAUAGUCAUACGUGCUUAUCGAAAGAUUUGCAUGCCAUCUUUUGUCCUACCCUCCCGUGGCAGCGGGGUCCUAAUGGAAACUAGGGGAUAUUAAGGCCUCCUUUUAAUAGAGUACCGGACCAACGCAUAACACAUAGUGAAUACAUGAACUCCUCAAAUUACGGUCAUCACCGGGAGUGGUCCCGACUAUUGUCACUUCGGGGUUGCCGGAUCAUAACACAUAGUAGGUGACUAUAGACUUGCAAGAUAGAAUCAAGAACUCUGAUAUAUUGAUGAAAACAUAAUAGGUUCAGAUCUGAAAUCAUGGCACUCGGGCCUUAGUGACAAGCAUUAGGCAUAGCAAAGUCAUAGCAACAUCAAUCUCAGAACAUAGUGGAUACUAGGGAUCAAACCCUAACAAAACUAACUCGAUUACAUGAUAAAUCUCAUCCAACCCAUCAUCGUCCAGCAAGUCUAUGAUGGAAUUACUCACGCACGACGGUGAGCAUCAUGAAAUUGGUGAUGGAGGAAGGUUGAUGAUGACGAUGGCAACGAAUUCCCCUCUCCGGAGCCCCGAACGGACUCCAGAUCAGCCCUCCCGAGAGAGUUUAGGGCUUGGCGGCGACUCCGUAUCGUAAAACACGAUGAAUCCUUCUCCCUGAUUUUUCUCUCCCCAAAAGUGAAUAUAUGGAGUCAAGGUUCAGGUCGGUGGAGUGUCAGGGGACCCACGAGGCAGGGGGCGCGCCCCCACCCUCGUGGACAGGUGGAGCCCCCCCUGACGUGGAUUUUUCUUCCAGUAUUUUUUAUAUAUUUCAAAAUAAUUCUCCGUUCAUUUUCAGGUCAUCCCGAGAACUUUUAUUUCUGCACAAAAAUAACACCAUGGCAAUUCUGCUGAAAACUGUGUCAGUCCGGGUUAGUUCCAUUCAAAUCAUGCAAGUUAGAGUCCAAAACAAGGGCAAAAGUGUUUGGAAAAGUAGAUACGAUGGAGACGUAUCAACUCCCCCAAGCUUAAACCUUUGCUUGUCCUCAAGCAAUUCAGUUGAUAAACUGAAAGUGAUAAAGAAAAACUUUUACAAACUCUGUUUGCUCUUGUUGUUGUAAAUAUGUAAAGCCAGCAUUCAGGUUUUCAACAAAAAUUAUGAACUAACCAUAUUCACAAUAACACUUAGGUCUCAUGUUUACUCAUAUCAAUGACAUAAUCAACUAGCGAGCAAUAAUAAUAAAUCUCGGAUGACAACACUUUCUCAAAAUAAUCAUGAUAUGAUAUGACAAGAUGGUAUCUCGUUAGCCCUUUCUGAGACCGCAAAACAUAAAUGCAGAGCACCUUUAAAGAUCAAGGACCGACUAGACAUUGUAAUUCAUGGUAAAAGAGAUCCAGUCAAGUCAUACUCAAUGUAAACUAAUAGUAAUGGAUGCAAAUGACACCGGUGCUCUCUAACUGGUGCUUUUUAAUAAGAGGAUGAUGACUCAACAUAAAAAUAAAUAGAUAGGACCUUCGCAGAGGGAAGCAGAGAUUUGUAGAGGUGCCAGAGCUCGGUUUUGAAAUAGAUAUGAAUAAUAUUUUGAGCGGUAUACUUUCAUUGGCAACAUAAGAACUGAGAAUCUCGAUAUCUUCCAUGCUACACAUUAUAUGCGGUUCCCAAACAGAAUGGUAAAGUUUAUACUCCCCCUCCACCAAUAAGCAUCAAUCCAUGGCUUGCUCGAAACAACGAGUGCCUCCAACUAGCAAGAGUCUCGGGGGAGUUUUGUUUGCAGUUAUUUUGAUUUGCAUAAAGCAUGGGACUGGGCAUCCCGGUGACCAGCCAUUUUCUCGUGAGUGAGGAGCGGAGUCCACUCCUCUUGAGAAUAACCCGCCUAGCAUGGAAGAUACAGACAACCAUAGUUGAUACAUGAGCUAUUCGAGCAUACAAAACAGAAUGUUUAUUUGAAGGUUUAGAGUUUGGCACAUACAAAUUUACUUGGAACGUCAGGUAGAUACCGUAUAUAGGUAGGUAUGGUGGACUCAUAUGGAAUAACUUUGGGGUUUGUGGAGUUGGAUACACAAGCAGUAUUCCCGCUUAGUACAGGUGAAGGCUAGAAAAAGACUGGGAAGCGACCAGCUAGAGAGCGAAAACAGUCAUGAACAUGCAUUAAAAUUAAUCAACACCGAAUGCAAGCAUGAGUAGGAUAUAAUGCACCAUGAACAUAAAUAUCGUAGAGGCUAUGUUGAUUUUGUUUCAACUACAUGCGUGAACAUGUGUCAAGUCAAGCCACUCGAAUCGUUUGAAAGAGGAUACCACCCUAUCAUACCACAUCACAACUAUUUUAAUAGCAUGUUGGCAUGCAAGGUAAACCAUUAUAAGCUCAUAGCUAAUUAAGCAUGACAUAAGCAACUACAAUCUCGAAUUGUCAUUGCAAACAAGUUUAUUCAUAAUAGGCUGAGUCAGGAACGAUGAACUAAUCAUAUUUACAAAAACAAGAGAGGUCGAGUUCAUACCAGUUUUUCUCAUCUCAAUAAAUUCAGCAUAUAAUCGUCAUUAUUGCCUUUCACUUGCACGACCGAAUAGUGUGGAUAAUAAUAAUAGUGCACGUGCAUUGGACUAAGCUGGAAUCUGCAAGCAUUCAAUUCAAGAGAGAAAAAAGGGUAAUAUGGGCUCUUUGUUAGAUCAACAAUAAUGCAUAUAAGAGCCACUUAACAUUUCCAUUAUGAUCUUCUCCUCUCGAUCCCCAAAGAAAAGAAACAAAACUAUUUACACGGGAAAGCUCCCAACAAGCAAAAGAAGAACGAGAAAUCUUUUUAGGUUUUCUUUUUAAUUACUAUCACUACAGGCAUGGAAAGCAAACUAGCUAAAAAGCUACAACUAUUUUUUUGUUUUAUUUUAAGGUUUAUUAAACACACAAGAAGAAAGCAUAAAAAAGGAAAAUAAAAUAGCAUGGAUAUUACAAUGAAAAAGUAUGAGCACUGACAACUAGCAUGAGUGUGUGAACAUAAAUGUAAUGUCGGUGAGAUAUACGUACUCCCCCAAGCUUAGGCUUUUGGCCUAAGUUGGUCUAUGGACACGGUUGGCCUGGCGGAUAUCCAAAGUUGUAGCUGGGGUCGUACUGAGAUGCAGCGGCAAUUGCCCAAUGAGCUGCAGCUUGGAGGCGAGCCGUCUUCGCCCUCCUCUCGUACUCGCUUGCCUCCUCCCUGAUUAUAACAUAUCUCUCCUUUGCCUGAAAGUCAAAGAAAGUAGGAGCAGGGAGAGCGACGUGAUAGGUUCGUCGUCUGUCAAAGAUUAGUCGGUACUGAAAGAACUGAUCGUUCCUCUCGACAAACUGAUGACGAACCAUAGCAUCAUAAUCUAGAUAAGAAGGAGGCAACUCAAUAUCAUCUCCACGUAUGGGUAUCUCAAGAAAGUUAGCUAUACGAGUCGCAUAAAUUCCACCAAAUAAAUCUCCAUGAAUACGAUUAUUAUGCAACCUACGUGCAACAAUAGCCCCCAAGUUGUAUUGUUUAUCUUCUAAAACAGCACUCCUGAGAAUGCUAAGAUCUGGUACACACAUGUGACAAGCCUCAUCUUUACCAUUUAUGCAUCUACCUAUAAAGAGAGCAAAAUAAUGUAUAGCAGGAAAAUGAAUACUCCCUAUAGUAGCUCGCGUCACAUCCCUAAAUUCCCCCACAGUUAUACUAGCAAGAAAUUCUCUAAAUUCAGAUUUGCGAGGUUCACUAACAUCACCCCACUGAGGGAGUUUACAAGCAGUGUUAAAAUCUUCUAAGUCCAUGAUAUAAGAUUUAUCAUAAAGAUCAAACAAGACAGUUUGAGAAUUGCGUGAUGAUGAGAAUUUAAACCUUCUCGCAAAUGAAUCAGUUAAAUAGAGGUAUUGACGGCACUUAUCUACCUCGAAGCUCUCCAGAUCAGCAUUACGCACAUAUGCAUCAAAUUCCCCUUUAAUUCCUGCUUGGAUCAUGAAGUCCUCUGAUGGCCAUUCACAAGGCCGCACUUGAGAGUCUCUUGGUGGUUCCUCGUCCGCAUCGCGUAUUGCGGGCCUGGGUCCUUGCUUCCUUGAAGAACCACCUUGGUACAUUUUCCUAAACAUAUUUCUUUCUCUGAAAAAUUUCUAAUUUUUUUAGUAAUUUCAAAAUAAAAGUGAACCAAACUCAACAAUAUUGAUAGCAACUACUCCAACAAGUGCCUAGGGGCAAUAUCAUGCAUUAAAACUACUUUUGACCAUAUAAAUUUGACAUGGCUCAAGAACAAGGUCACCUAAGCAGCAAAAAUUUGCAAUGAAUAAAGCACUAGAACAAAAACUAAUUGGACCGUUGGAGGAAUCACAUACCAAAGAACAAUCCCCCAAAGCAGUUUUGUGAAUGGAGCUUUGAGCUAGGAGAUCGAAAAUGGCAGCAAGAUGAGCUUGAACUCGGGUUUGAGCCGGUUGGUGAUUUUUGUGGGAGGAAGGAGUGUGUGAUAGCUGGAGUAAGUGGAGGGGAGCCACCAUGGGCCCACGAGGUAGGGGGUGCGCCCUGGACCCUCGUGGCCAGGUGCUUGCUCCCCUGCUGUGUUCUCAGUGCCAGAUAUUCUCAAAUAUUCCAGAAAAAAUCAUAUUUAAAUUUCAGGGCAUUUGAAGAACUUUUAUUUUUGAGGUAUUUUUUAUUGCAUGGAUAAUUCAGAAAACAGAUAGAAUAUACUAUUUUUUGCUUUAUUUAAUAUAAAUAACAGAAAGUAAAAAGAGGGUACAAAGAGUUGUGCCUUCUAACUUCAUCCAUCUCAUGCUCAUCAAAAGGAAUCCACUAACAAGGUUGAUCAGGUCUUGUUAACAAACUCAUUUCGAGUAACAUGAAACCGGAGAAAUUUCGAAUAACACUAUGUUACCUCAACGGGGAUAUGCAUGUCCCCAACAAUAAGAAUAUCAUAUUUCUUCUUGACUAUAGGAAGAGGAAAUUCGAAACCUCCAAUAGUAAUUGUUGAAUUUUUUCCAAUAGAAUUGAUACUGUGGACUUGAGGUUGUUUCCUCGGAAAGUGUACCAUAUGCUCAUUAUCAUUAACAUCAAAAGUGACAUUGCCUUUGGUGCAAUCAAUAACAGCCCCUGCAGUAUUCAAAAAGGGUCUUCCAAAAAUAAUAGACAUACUAUCGUCCUCGGGAAUAUCAAGAAUAACUCCGUUAAAAUAGUAACGUUUGCAACCACAAUAGGCACAUCCUCACAAAUACCGACAUGUAUAGCAGUUAAUUUAUCAUCCAUUUGCAAAGAUAUUUUAGUAGGUGUCAAAUUAUUCAAAUUGAGUCUACGAUAUAAAGAGAAAGACAUAACACUAACACCGGCUCCAAGAUCACAUAAAGCAGUUUUAACAUAGUUUCUUUUAAUGGAGCAUGGUAUAGUUGGUACUCCUGGAUCUUGGUACUCCUGAAUCUCCAAGUUUCUUUGGUAUUCCACCCUUAAAAGUGUAAUUAGCAAGCAUGGUGGAAAUUUCAGCUUCCGGUAUCUUUCUCUUACUAGUAAUUAUAUCUUUCAUAUAUUUAGCAUAAGGAUUCAUUUUAAGCAUGUCAGUCAAACGCAUACGCAAAAAGAUAGGUCUAAUCAUUUCAGCAAAGCGCUCAAAAUCCUCAUCAUCCUUUUUCUUGGAUGGUUUAGGAGGAAAGGGCAUGGGUUUCUGAACCCAUGGUUCUCUUUCUUUACCGUGCUUUCUAGCAAUAAAGUCUCUCUUAUCAUAACGUUGAUUCUUUGAUUGUGGGUUAUCAAGAUCAACAAUAGAUUUAAUUUCUACAUCAUCAUUAUUGCUAGGUUGAGCAUCAACAUGAACAUCAUCAUUAACAUUAUCACUAGGUUCAUGUUCAUUACCAGAUUGUGUUUCAGCAUCGGAGAUAGAAAUAUUAUUGGGAUUCUCAGGUGUGUCAAUAACAGGUUCACUAGAAGCAUGCAAAGUCCUAUCAUUUUUCUUUUUCUUCCUCUCAGAAGGACUAGGUGCAUCAACAUUAGUUCUCUGAGAAUCUUGCUCAAUUCUCUUAGGAUGACCCUCAGGAUACAAAGGUUCCUGAGUCACUUUACCUCCUCUAGUUGCAACUCUAACAGCAAAGUCAUUAUUUUUACUAUUCAAUUCAUUGAGCAAAUCAUCCUGACCUUUAAGUACUUGUUCUACUUGAGUGGUAACCAUAGAAGCAUGUUUACUAAUAAGUUUAAGUUCAUCUUUAACAUUAGCCAUAUAAUCACUCAAGUGUUCAAUCAUAUAAGCAUUAUGUUUCAAUUGUCUACCAACAUAAGCAUUGAAAUCUUCUUGCUUAACCAUAAAGUUAUCAAAUUCAUCCAAACAUUGUCUAGCAAACUUGGCAGGAGGGAUUUCAGCUUUAUCAUAUCUAUAGAGAGAAUUUACCUUAACUACCUGUGUCGGGUUACCAAGACCAUGUGUUUCUUCAACAGGCGGCAAAUUAAGACCAUGUAUUUCUUAAAUAGGUGGUAAAUUCUUAACAUCUUCAGCUUUUAUACCUUUUUCUUUCAUAGAUUUCUUUGCCUCUUGCAUAUCUUCAGGACUGAGUGUUGGGGAACGUAGCAGAAAUUCAAAAUUUUCUACGCAUCACCAAGAUCAAUCUAUGGAGUAAUCUAGCAACGAGGGGAAGGAGAGUGCAUCUACAUACCCUUGUAGAUUGCUAAGCGGAAGCGUUCAAGUGAACGGGGUUGAUGGAGUCGUACUCGUCGUGAUCCAAAUCACCGAUGAUCCUAGUGCCGAACGGACGGCACCUCCGUGUUCAACACACGUACAGCCCGGUGACGUCUCCUACGCCUUGAUCCAGCAAGAGGAGAAUGAGAGGUUGGGGAAGACUCCAUCCAGCAGCAGCACGACGGCGUGGUGGUGGUGGAGGAGCGCGGGACUCCAGCAGGGCUUCGCCAAGCACUACGAGAGACGAGGAGGGAGAGGGGUAGGGCUGCUCCAACAGGGAGAGCAAAUCACAUGUGUUGGGCAUCCCCAAACCUCAAGUAUAUAUAGGGGAAGGGGAGGGGCUGCGCCCCCACCUAGGGUUCCCUCCCUAGGGGUGGUGGCAGCCCCCAGAUCCCAUCUGGGUGGCGGCCACAAGGGGGAGAGGGGGAGGCGCACCUGGGGUGGGCCUUAGGGCCCAUCUGCCCUAGGGUUUGCCCCCUUUCCCUCUUGGAGGCGCCUUGGGCCUUGGUGGGAGGCGCCCCAGCCCACAUAGGGGCUGGUCCCUUCCCACUAUUGGCCCAUGUAGGCCUCCGGGGCUGGUGGCCCCACCUGGUGGACCCCUGGACCCCUCCGGUGGUCCCGGUGCAGUAGCGGUGAUGCCCGGAACACUUCCGGUGGCCAAACCAUACUUCCUAUAUAUCAAUCUUUACCUAUGGACCAUUCCGGAACUCCUCGUGACGUCUGGGAUCUCAUCCGGGACUCCGAACAACAUUCGGUAACCGCGUACCUACUUUCCCUAUAACCCUAGCAUCAUCGAACCUUAAGUGUGUAGACCCUACGGGUUCGGGAAACAUGCAGACAUGACCGAGACACCUCUCCGGUCAAUAACCAACAGCGGGAUCUGGAUACCCAUGCUGGCUCCCACAUGCUCCAUGAUGAUCUCAUCAGAUGAACCACGAUGUCAAGGACUUAAUCAAUCCCGUAUACAAUUCCCUUUGUCUAGCGGUACGAUACUUGCCCGAGAUUGGAUCGUCGGUAUCCCGAUACCUUGUUCAAUCUCGUUACUGGCAAGUCUCUUUACUCGUUCCGUAACACAUCAUCCCAUGAUCAAAUCCUUGAUCACAUUGUGCACAUUAUGAUGAUGUCCUACCGAGUGGGCCCAGAGAUACCUCUCCGUUUACACGGAGUGACAAAUCCCAGUCUCGAUUCGUGCCAACCCAACAGACACUUUCGGAGAUACCUGUAGUGUACCUUUAUAGCCACCCAGUUACAUCGUGACGUUUGGCACACCCAAAGCACUCUUACGGUAUCCGGGAGUUGCACAAUCUCAUGGUCUAAGGAAAUGAUACUUGACAUUAGAAAAGCUUCAGCAUACGAACUACAUGAUCUUGUGCUAGGCUUAGGAUUGGGUCUUGUCCAUCACAUCAUUCUCCUAAUGAUGUGAUCCCGUCAUCAACGACAUCCAAUGUGGUCAGGAAACCGUAACCAUCUAUUGAUCAACGAGCUAGUCAACUAGAGGCUUACUAGGGACAUGGUGUUGUCUAUGUAUCCACACAUGUAUCUGAGUUUCCUAUCAAUACAAUUCUAGCAUGGAUAAUAAACGAUUAUCAUGAACAAGGAAAUAUAAUAAUAACCAAUUUAUUAUUGCCUCUAGGGCAUAUUUCCAACACUGAGAAAUAUAAUACCCCUUUUCUUCGGAGUUGUCUUAGGAGUUGGUUCAGGAAGUGUCCAAUUAUUUUCAUUAGUCAACAUAUUAUUCAAUAGAAUUUCAGCUUGAUCAACAGUUAUUUCCCUAAAAACACAACCAGCACAACUAUCUAGGUAAUCUCUGGAAGCAUCGGUUAGUCCAUUAUAAAAGAUAUCAAGUAUUUCAUUCUUCUUGAGAGGAUGAUCAGGAAAAGCAUUAAGUAAUCGAAGAAGCCUCCCCCAAGCUUGUGGGAGACUCUCUUCUUCAAUUUGCACAAAAUUAUAUAUCUCCCUUAAACUAGCUUGUUUCUUAUGGGCGGGGAAAUAUUUAGCAGAGAAGUAGUAAAUCAUAUCCUGGGGACUACGCACACAACCAGGAUCAAAAGAAUUAAACCAUAUCUUAGCAUCACCCUUUAAUGAGAAUGAAAAUAAUUUAAGGAUAUAAUAGUAGCGAGUUUUCUCAUCAUUAGUGAACAGGGUAGCUAUAUCAUUUAAUUUAGUAAGAUGUGCCACAACAGUUUCAGAUUCAUAGCCAUAGAAAGGAUCAGAUUCAACCAGAUUAAUUAAAUCAGGAUCAACAGAGAAAUCAUAAUCCUUAUCAGUAAUAAAGAUAGGUGAAGUAGCAUAAGCAGGAUCAUAUUUCAUUCUAGCAUUUAGAGUUUUUUCUUUAAGCUUAGCUAAUAGUUUCUUAAGAUCCCUUCUAUCAUUGCAGGCAAGAUAGUCUCUAGCAGUUUCUUCAUCCAUAACAUAACCCUCAGGAACAACAGGCAAUUCAUAUCUAGGGGGAGAAUCUUCAUCAUCACUUUCAUCAAUAUUAUCAGUUUCAAUAAUUCCAUUCCCUCUAGCCCUAGCAAGUUGUUCAUCAAGAAAUUCACCAAGUGGAACAGUAGUAUCAAGAAUAGAAGUAGUUUCAUCAUAAGUACAUGCAUAGCAGAAGUGACAUCAUCAAUAACAUGCGACAUAUCAUAAUCAAUAGCAGAAGCGGGUUUAGGUGUCGCAAGCUUACUCAAAACAGAAGGUGAAUCAAGUGAGAGCUAGAUGGCAGUUCCUUACCUUCCCUCGUAGUUGAGGGAAAAAUCUUGGUUCUUUGAUCUUUCAAGUUCUUCAUAAUGAUAAGCAGAUAUAAAUCCCAAGUGACUCAAAGAAUAGAGCUAUGCUCCCCGGCAACGGCGCCAGAAAAUGUUCUUGAUAACCCACAAGUAUAGGGGAUCGCAACAGUUUUCGAGGGUAGAAUAUUCAACCCAAAUUUAUUGAUUCGACACAAGAGGAGCCAAAGAAUAUUCUCAAGUAUUAGCAGCUGAGUUGUCAAUUCAACCACAUCUGGAAACUUAAUAUUUGCAGCAAGGUAUUUAUUAGCAAAGUAAUAUGAUAGUAGUGGUAACGGUGGCAAAAGGUAACGGUAGCAAAAGUAAUAUUUUGGGUUUUAUAGUGAUGGUAAUAGUAGCAGUGGGAAAGUAAAUAAGCGAAGAACAAUAUAGGAAAAGCUCGUAGGCAAUGGAUCGGUGAUAGAGAAUUAUGUCCGAUGCGAUCGAUCAUGUAACAGUCAUAACCUAGGGUGACACAGAACUAGCUCCAGCUCAUCAAUGUAAUGUAGGCAUGUAUUCCGAAUAUAGUUAUACAUGCUUACGGAAAGAACUUGCAUGACAUCUUUUGUCCUACCCUCCCAUGGCAGCGGGGUCCUAAUGGAAACUAAGGGAUAUUAAGGCCUCCUUUUAAUAGAGUACCGGACCAAAGCAUUAACACACAGUGAAUACAUGAACUUCUCAAACUACGGUCAUCACCGGGAGUGGUCCCGAUUAUUGUCACUUCGGGGUUGCCGGAUCAUAACACAUAGUAGGUGACUAUAGACUUGCAAGAUAGGAUCAAGAACUCUCAUAUAUUGAUGAAAACAUAAUAGGUUCAGAUCUGAAAUCAUGGCACUCGACCCCUAGUGACAAGCAUUAAGCAUAGCAAAGUCAUAGCAACAUCAAUCUCAGAACAUAGUGGAUACUAGGGAUCAAACCCUAACAAAACUAACUCAAUUACAUGAUAAAUCUCAUCCAACCCAUCACCGUCCAGCAAACCUAUGAUGGAAUUACUCACGCACGGCGGUGAGCAUCAUGAAAUUAGUGAUGGAGGAAGGUUGAUGAUGACGAUGGCGACGGAUUCCCCUCUCCGGAGCCUCAAACGGACUCCAGAUCAGCCCUCUCAAGAGAGUUUAGGGCUUGGUGGCGACUCUGUAUCAUAAAACGCGAUGAAUCCUUCUCCGUGAUUUUUUUCUCCUCGAAAGUGAAUAUAUGGAGUCAAGGUUGAGGUCGGUGGAGUGUCAGGGGGCCCACGAGGCAGGGGGGCGCGCCCCCACCCUCGUGGACAGGUGGAGGCCCCCUGACGUGGAUUCUUCUUCCAGUAUUUUUUAUAUAUUCCAAAAUAAUUCUCCGUUGACUUUCAGGUCAUUCCGAGAACUUUUAUUUCUGCACAAAAAUAACACCAUGGCAAUUCUGCUAAAAACAGCGUCAGUCCAGGUUAGUUCCAUUCAAAUCAUGCAAGUUAGAGUCUAAAACAAGGGCAAAAGUGUUUGGAAAAGUAGAUAUGACGGAGACGUAUCAGUGGCCACCGCCAACCUCCAUGAGUGGCUCUUCACGCUCAGCGACUUGUCGUAGCUGCGCAUCUGCUGGGUGUGCGAGCGAGUGGCAAACGUGGUCCUGGAGGUCCAUCAAAGGGAGGAGGAAGGUCCAUGGCCCCUACUACGGGUUCUGCAAGUCCGCAUGGGGAUCUGCCUCAAGUUCGAGACCGAGCCAGUUAGAACUUGAUCGCUCUCUUGUAAAUAAUGAACCUGCCAUAUGCUGUGAAACAUAACACCGAUUGGGCCUUCAACUUUCACAAGACUGUUUUUAUUUAAGGAUGUUAUUACUGGAACCUGCAUUGUGUUGUCUCAUUUGAUGAAAUUUUGAACCAUUCUAUGGAUUGUUAUAUGGUUGGUAUGCUUCCAUUAUGAUGU
rnacentral:lncRNA from 1 species